UUUUUUUUUUUUUUCUAUUUUAAUGGUACAACAGAGGAGAAAGAUCAGAAAAUAAUCAUGAUUACACUGAGCUAUUUGCUGAACAAAAGAAGAUAACUGCAUUGUCUACUUCUGAUUAGGAUGUAGAAAACUAUGAGACACUUGCUUUCAACUUAACACUAAGACCAAGACAGAUAUGCAAAAAAAAAAAAAUCAUAGCUACUUGAAACUAAUAGAGAGCUGAAGAUCAAACAAACAAACAAACAAACAAAAAGUUCUGAAGAGCAUUCAGAGAGUAAUUAUUCUUUCUUGAGACAGAGCAGACAUAUAACUCUUUUCAGCCCUGUAGGAAUGAUGGAAGGAAGUGGCAUCUGUAAUAGUUGAGUCUCUGGAAAAUAUGUAUUGCCUAAGACUGUUGAGUAACUCUCUUUAGGUUGUCAAAUCAUCUAUGGUAUAAUCAUGAACUCUUCAACAAACACAUCCUAAAGAGAAUCCAACUACAGGAAUAAGUUCAAGAGAAAAGUAAGACAUUACAUAUUAGGAAACUAGCAAAAUAAGAGUAGAUAUGAAUAAGAAGAAAUCAGCCAGACAAUUUAUGUUUGGGCUGGCUUGAUGAAAAAAUCCCAAGUAACCCUAGUCACAGAGCAAUUCUGCAGUUACCUGCUAGUGUUUUCCACGGACCAUCGCUGAGUGAAUGGAGAUGGCAGCUGGUCUGCCAAAACAGAAAACAGGGCAGGAGAGCAGGAAAACAUGACCUUUGAGGUAUAUAGCAUCUUGCUUCUGUACAAAGUCAUGGAACACUGCCUGAGGACAGGCCAAAAGAUCUAAGAAAUAUUUCUUACAGUCAAUUCAUGUUUUUGUUGGGAGGCUGAGAGACAACGAUCUUUGAGUUUCCUGUGUGUCUUUGCAGCAGACACAUUGAUGGUUUUUUGUUAUUUUUUCAAGACUGCUUCGUAACAUAAAACUAUGAAAGGUAGAGAUAACUGUCUACCUCUAAACAAGAGGGUUAAUACUAUGCUACUCAGUGUAAUAAAUUCUCUUUUUUUUUUUGGAGCAAAGUCAUAUAGGUUUUGUUGAGUUCCAUUAUAAAGAUUUGGGUUUCCUAAACUCAGUGUUCCUCAGUUGUAAUGCAUACUCACUGUUUCUGUAGCAUCUAGCAAAGUUCACCUCUACCUCAUUGCCAUGGGACUUGAUGGGGAGGAGAUACUGUAAGCAUAAAGCUUAUGUUACUUGCUGUCUUGUGAGUAAUAGUCUUUUGUCUCUGACGUAGAAAUAUCCUGAUGUCUUCCAGCAUCCAUAAUAUUAUGGCAGGCUAAUUUGCUAGCUUGCAAAAAGAGAAAAUUAUUAGAUCUUUCACAGUCCUUGGUAAUUUUCACCAAGUUCAAGGCUUUAGCUAAAGGCUGGAUGUUAAAAAACAAAAACAGAGAUGAAAAGAGAUCUCACAAUGUGCAGAAAGACCAAGUCAGAACUGGAAGGCAAAACAAACUUCCCAAUAACCCCAAAAUAUGGCAAGUAAACUGAAAUCCACAAAGA
rnacentral:lncRNA from 1 species